GGGCUAUUAGCUCAGUUGGUUAGAGCACACCCCUGAUAAGGGUGAGGCCUCUGGUUCAAGUCCAGAAUAGCCCA
rnacentral:tRNA from 1 species